rnacentral:tRNA from 1 species
AGGUGCCUGGCUCAGUGGUUAGGGCGUUCGACUCACGAUCGUAAGGUCGUGAGUUCAACUCCCGGCGACGC